GUCAUGGCUGUCCUGGCCUUUAAGUGCCACAACGUUCACAGCCUAAUACACAUGCAGCCUCGCCAUCCCCCCCAGGGUCAGCAUGCCUUCCCUGGUGGCUACUGGUGCGAGGACACGCUUGUCUCUGGACAGGAUGCGGAGAGUUUCCAGACAUGUCCUCUGACAGCUGGGCUGCACCUGCCUCCGAAGUACUGACAACAGACUCUGACACAGCUUCUGAAAUGACACAGGGCUUCUUCCUUUUGGUCAAAAGUGAAGGUGUGACUGUUCUGAAACAGAAAUGAUGCUCAUCGUUGACACAGACACACUAAUGUUAAACAUGCC